ACGAACGCUGGCGGCAUGCCUAACCCAUGCAAGUCGCACGAGACCUUCGGGCCUAGUGGCGCACGGGUGCGUAACGCGUGGGAACCUGCCCUUAGGUUCGGAAUAACUCCCCGAAAGGGGUGCUAAUACCGGAUAAUGUCUUCGGACCAAAGAUUUAUCGCCUUUGGAUGGGCCCGCGUUGGAUUAGCUAGUUGGUAGGGUAAAAGCCUACCAAGGCGACGAUCCAUAGCUGGUCUGAGAGGAUGAUCAGCCACACUGGGACUGAGACACGGCCCAGACUCCUACGGGAGGCAGCAGUGGGGAAUAUUGGACAAUGGGCGAAAGCCUGAUCCAGCAAUGCCGCGUGAGUGAUGAAGGCCUUAGGGUUGUAAAGCUCUUUUACCCGGGAUGAUAAUGACAGUACCGGGAGAAUAAGCUCCGGCUAACUCCGUG
rnacentral:rRNA from 1 species